AACCCUAAUCAAUAGACUUACGGCGUAAAACGUGUUUAAGAUACCCCUACAAACUAAAGUCAAACUCUAGCCACGCUGUAAAAAGCCCCAGCUACCGUAAGACCCACUACGAAAGUGACUUUAAACCAACUGAAUACACGACAGCUGGGGCCCAAACUGGGAUUAGAUACCCCACUAUGCCCAGCCUUAAACUUAAGGGAUUCAUACAACAAAAUCCUUCGCCAGAGUACUACUAGCCAAAGCUUAAAACUCAAAGGACUUGGCGGUGCUUCAUAUCCCUCUAGAGGAGCCUGUUCUAUAAUCGAUAAACCCCGAUAAACCUCACCAACCCUUGCCAACU
rnacentral:rRNA from 1 species